ACUUACAACAUAUACAACAAAGGGUUAACAAUUUAUACAUUGGAGUGCUCACAAAUUAAUUUUAAAAAUAUGAAAAAGCAACUCACAGAAGAAUAAGCAUGACCAACAAACACGGAAAACAUCCAUCUUCAAUAGUCAUAGAACUGUAAAUUUUAAGAAGUGGUAUCUCUUUGGUGACACUCCACAUGUCAACAGAAAAUGCUACUACACAAAGAACUUACCAAUCCUGAUUUCAGACGACUACCUUCUGACACUGGGAAGGCUACUAUGCUCACAUCUUGGUACUAACAGCUGUUGACAAAUAUCACCCGAGCUAGUGAGACUGAUGUUUCUCAGCCAUUAGAUUAGAUUUAAACAUACACACACACACACACACACAAUUAGAUUUAUGAUAAUGUCUGAAUGUGUUUGAAUAUAAAAUAUGUAUCUCUC